AUUAAACGCUGGCGGCAUGCCUUACACAUGCAAGUCGAACGGCAGCACGGGGGCAACCCUGGUGGCGAGUGGCGGACGGGUGAGUAAUGCAUCGGAACGUAUCCUGGAGUGGGGGGAUAACGUAGCGAAAGUUACGCUAAUACCGCAUAUUCUGUGAGCAGGAAAGCAGGGGAUCGCAAGACCUUGCGCUCUGGGAGCGGCCGAUGUCGGAUUAGCUAGUUGGUGGGGUAAAGGCCUACCAAGGCGACGAUCCGUAGCGGGUCUGAGAGGAUGAUCCGCCACACUGGGACUGAGACACGGCCCAGACUCCUACGGGAGGCAGCAGUGGGGAAUUUUGGACAAUGGGCGGAAGCCUGAUCCAGCCAUGCCGCGUGAGUGAAGAAGGCCUC
rnacentral:rRNA from 1 species